rfam:Schistosoma haematobium scaffold220_43, whole genome shotgun sequence.
AUCCAGCCGACGAGUCCCAAAUAGGACCAAACGUGCGUCCUGGAC